GCAACACCAACCCGGAGCCCACAUAUAAAACCUGCACCUUUACCGCUUGAACGCCCCCAUUCACCCUCGUGCUCGGUUUUCUUUUUCCUUUUGCUCUGCUUCGAAAACAACUGCAAGCCAGAGCAACCCGUAGAACAACAAAGAGAAACGCUUAAGGGAACGCUCACGGUACACAAAGCAUUUUCCAAAAGAAAAAGAAAAGAAGGAAAAGGAGAACCAAAGAUCCCACCUUUUACUCUCUUUAAUGCCUUCGACUCUCUGAAACAAACCCCUCCCCCCUCGCUCUCUUUCUCUCUCUCUCUCUCGCUCCGUCG
rnacentral:lncRNA from 1 species